AAUUAGUUAUCUGUUGGUAACACUCUAAUAUUCUGUGCAAAAGUUUAUUUUAGGCUGAUGCAGCUGAAAGUGAAAGGAAGGAUCAAAAUAUCAUCCCAUCCAUAUAGAGAGGCUCCAUUAGCUCAAGAUGUUUGAUAAUCCUCGGCCCAGAGGGAUGAGUCUAUGGAGGAUGCUUGGGUUCCUAUCUGUGGAAAUCCCACUGAGCAUUGUAAUCACCAAAAGCCUAGAAGAAUUCAAAUGGACUCAUCUAAAGUAUUUCAGUAGCUGCCCUUAUCAGCAGCUAAAUUGCUAAUCUUGCUUAAACCAAUGAAUUCUGAGCCAGCUAAUCUUCAGUCUUUUGUGUAGCCAGAUCACAAUUUCUCUUAUUUCUGUCCCAGCAUGUAUCCUAGCAUACAUGUGGAUCAUUCACAAUUUUGCACCUUGAAAAUAUCAUAUUAGGAAGGAACUCUCCACAGAGAGGUAGAUGUCUUUGGACAGUCCUGGAGAGCCAAGACCAUUCCAAACAUUUGGGAAAGAAAUCGGAUCCUACAAUUUCAGUCCUAAUUUAAGUGCUUAAUUUUUUGCCAAAAGUAAAGCUAGUAAUUGUGAUGAGUCAAUGGAUGGUUUCUGUUAAAAAAAAAAUAAACUAAGGUAAUAAAUGCCA
rnacentral:lncRNA from 1 species